AAUACAUCGGAACGUGCCCAGUCGUGGGGGAUAACGUAGCGAAAGCUACGCUAUACCGCAUACAAACUGAGGUUGAAAGCGGGGGAUCGCAAGACCUCGCGCGAUUGGAGCGGCCGAUGGCAGAUUAGGUAGUUGGUGGGGUAAAGGCCUACCAAGCCGACGAUCUGUAGCUGGUCUGAGAGGACGACCAGCCACACUGGGACUGAGACACGGCCCAGACUCCUACGGGAGGCAGCAGUGGGGAAUUUUGGACAAUGGGCGCAAGCCUGAUCCAGCCAUUCCGCGUGCAGGGUGAAGGCCCUCGGGUUGUAAACUGCUUUUGUACGGAACGAAAAGGUCCUGGUUAAUACCCGGGGCUGAUGACGGUACCGUAAGAAUAAGCACCGGCUAACUACGUGCCAGCAGCCGCGGUAAUACGUAGGGUGCGAGCGUUAAUCGGAAUUACUGGGCGUAAAGCGUGCGCAGGCGGUGAUGUAAGACAGGUGUGAAAUCCCCGGGCUUAACCUGGGAACUGCAUUUGUGACUGCAUCGCUGGGGUGCGGCAGAGGGGGAUGGAAUUCCGCGUGUAGCAGUGAAAUGCGUAGAUAUGCGGAGGAACACCGAUG
rnacentral:rRNA from 1 species